CACGUGGUUAGCCGGAGCUUAUUCUACAGGUACUGUCUUUUUCUUCCCUGUCUAAAGCAGUUUACAAUCCGAAAACCUUCUUCCUGCACGCGGCGUCACUGCGUCAGAGUUUCCUCCAUUGCGCAAUAUUCCCGACUGCUGCCUCCCGUAGGAGUCUGGGCCGUAUCUCAGUCCCAAUGUGGCCGUUCAACCUCUCAGUCCGGCUACUGAUCGUCGACUUGGUAGGCCAUUACCCCACCAACUAUCUAAUCAGACGCAAGCCCAUCUAUCAGCGGAUUGCUCCUUUCCCUUUUGUAACAUGAGUUACUAAGGCAUAUGCGGUAUUAGCAGUCAUUUCUAACUGUUGUUCCCCUCUGAUAGGCAGGUUGCUUACGUGUUACUCACCAGUCCGCACUAAAGCCAUUGUUGUAAGUCAAUCUUCAUUCCCUUUGAACAAGUUCUCUGUUCAUGUCAACAUCAUUACAACGUACUUCCGUUCGACUUUGCAUGUCUUAU
rnacentral:rRNA from 1 species